UUAUGAAAUGAUGAUGAUGGAAUUAUUUACAAGUUGAAUAUCGUGCUGAUGUGAUGUAUUUGUUUAUUCAGG